UGGGGAAUAUUGCACAAUGGGCGAAAGCCUGAUGCAGCAACGCCGCGUGAGUGAUGAAGGCCUUCGGGUUGUAAAGCUCUGUCUUUUGGGACGAUAAUGACGGUACCAAAGGAGGAAGCCACGGCUAACUACGUGCCAGCAGCCGCGGUAAUACGUAGGUGGCAAGCGUUGUCCGGAUUUACUGGGCGUAAAGGAUGCGUAGGCGGAUUUUUAAGUGAGAUGUGAAAACCCUAAGCUUAACUUGGGGACUGCAUUUCAUACUGGAAAUCUAGAGUGCGGGAGAGGAGAAUGGAAUUCCUAGUGUAGCGGUGAAAUGCGUAGAGAUUAGGAAGAACACCAGUGGCGAAGGCGAUUCUCUGGACCGUAACUGACGCUGAGGCAUGAAAGCGUGGGUAGCAAACAGGAUUAGAUACCCUGGUAGUCCACGCCGUAAACGAUGAGUACUAGGUGUAGGAGGUAUCGACCCCUUCUGUGCCGCAGUUAACACAAUAAGUACUCCGCCUGGGAAGUGCGAUCGCAAGAUUAAAACUUAAAUGAAUUGAC
rnacentral:rRNA from 1 species